UAGCGUAGGGUCCGAGCGUUGUUCCGGAAUUAUUGGGCGUAAAGAGCUCGUAGGCGGUUUGUCGCGUCUGCUGUGAAAUCCCGAGGCUCAACCUCGGGCCUGCAGUGGGUACGGGCAGACUGGAGUGCGGUAGGGGAGAAUGGAAUUCCUGGUGUAGCGGUGGAAUGCGCAGAUAUCAGGAGGAACACCAAUAGCGAAAGGCAGCUCGCUGGGACGGUACUGACGCUAAGGCGCGAAAGCGUGGGGAGCGAACGAGGA
rnacentral:rRNA from 1 species